rnacentral:rRNA from 1 species
GUAGUCAUAUGCUUGUCUCAAAGAUUAAGCCAUGCAUGUCUAAGUAUAAGCAAUUAUACAGCGAAACUGCGAAUGGCUCAUUAUAUAAGUUAUCGUUUAUUUGAUAGUACCUUACUACUUGGAUAACCGUGGUAAUUCUAGAGCUAAUACAUGCUAAAAAUCCCGACUUCGGAAGGGAUGUAUUUAUUAGAUUAAAAACCAAUGCCCUUUGGGCUCCUUGGUGAUUCAUAAUAACUUUUCGAAUCGCAUGGCCUUGCGCCGGCGAUGGUUCAUUCAAAUUUCUUCCCUAUCAACUUUCGAUGUUUGGGUAUUGGCCAAACAUGGUCGCAACGGGUAACGGAGGGUUAGGGCUCGACCCCGGAGAAGGAGCCUGAGAAACGGCUACUACAUCCAAGGAAGGCAGCAGGCGCGCAAAUUACCCAAUCCCGAUUCGGGGAGGUAGUGACAAUAAAUACUGAUACAGGGCUCUUUUGGGUCUUGUAAUUGGAAUGAGUACAAUUUAAAUCCCUUAACGAGGAACAAUUGGAGGGCAAGUCUGGUGCCAGCAGCC